rnacentral:rRNA from 1 species
UACGGAGGGUGCGAGCGUUGUCCGGAAUCACUGGGCGUAAAGGGCGCGUAGGCGGCUCAUGAAGGCUGUGGUGAAAGUCCGGGGCUCAACCUCGGAUCGGCCGUGGCGACUCGUGGGCUGGAGCACUGUAGAGGCGGGUGGAAUUCCGGGUGUAGCGGUGGAAUGCGUAGAGAUCCGGAAGAACACCAGUAGCGAAGGCAGCUCGCUGGGACGUUACUGACACUGAGGCGCGAAAGCGUGGGGAGCGAACAGG